rnacentral:rRNA from 1 species
UGGUAGUCCGCACGGUAAACGAUGGAUGCCCGCUGUUUGCGAUAUAUUGUAAGCGGCCCAAGCGAAAGCGUUAAGCAUCCCACCUGGGGAGUACGCCGGCAACGGUGAAACUCAAAGGAAUUGACGGGGGCCCGCACAAGCGGAGGAACAUGUGGUUUAAUUCGAUGAUACGCGAGGAACCUUACCCGGGCUUGAACUGCAACCGAACGAGGGAGAGAUCCUGAGGCCCUUCGGGGCGGUUGUGGAGGUGCUGCAUGGUUGUCGUCAGCUCGUGCCGUGAGGUGUCGGCUUAAGUGCCAUAACGAGCGCAACCCCUCUCCGUAGUUGCCAUCAGGUAGGGCUGGGCACUCUGCGGACACUGCCACCGUAAGGUGUGAGGAAGGUGGGGAUGACGUCAAAUCAGCACGGCCCUUACGUCCGGGGCUACACACGUGUUACAAUGGGUGGUACAGAGAGCUAGUGCUGCGCAAGCCGCAUUGAAUCAUGAAAGCCAUCCUCAGUUCGGACUGGGGUCUGCAACCCGACCCCACGAAGCUGGAUUCGCUAGUAAUCGCGCAUCAGCCAUGGCGCGGUGAAUACGUUCCCGGGCCUUGUACACACCGCCCGUCAAGCCAUGAAAGCCGGGGGCGCCUGAAGUCCGUGACCGCGAGGGUCGGCCUAGGGUGAAACCGGUGAUUGGGGCU